CUCAACCGCAAGGAGGGGGAUGCCUAAGGCAGGGCUAGUGACUGGGGUGAAGUCGUAACAAGGUAGCCGUACCGGAAGGUGUGGCUGGAUCACCUCCUUAAAGGGAGACCUAAUUCAGGUAGGAGACGAAAAAAAAGUAGUCGCUACCAAGAAUCAAUCCCAAAAGGUCGGAGCGAGGCGAAAUUGGCUUUCAAACUAGGUUCUGGGUUCACACAAGACCUGAAUCAGGAACAAGGGCUAUUAGCUCAGGUGGUUAGAGCGCACCCCUGAUAAGGGUGAGGUCCCUGGUUCGAGUCCAGGAUGGCCCACCUGUACAGGUGGCAAAAAGAAAGAAAAGAAGCGAGGAAUCAGCACCUUAUCUUACUGACAUAGUAAGAGAGAAUGCUGGCUCUGAGUAAAGAGUCCAGAGGAACCUUGAAAACUGCAUAGAGCUAGGUGAAAAAGCCAAAAAAGAAGACCGCAAGGUCAAGCUAAUAAGGGCUAACGGUG
rnacentral:misc_RNA from 1 species